rnacentral:rRNA from 1 species
AAUUCGAUUGAGUUUGAUCAUGGCUCAGGAUAAACGCUGGCGGCGUGCAUGAGACAUGCAAGUCGAACGGACGAUCGAGGCUUGCUUCGAUCGUUAGUGGCGGACGGCUGAGUAACGCGUAGGUGACCUGCCCCGAAGUGGGGAAUAACUGCCCGAAAGGGUGGCUAAUACCGCAUGUGGUGGUGCGUUCAAUCGCACCAGUAAAGCCGCAAGGCGCUUCGGGAGGGGCCUGCGUCCGAUUAGCUCGUUGGUGGGGUAACGGCUCACCAAGGCGACGAUCGGUAGGUGGUCUGAGAGGACGAUCACCCAGACUGGGACUGAGACACGGCCCAGACUCCUACGGGAGGCAGCAGUCGGGAAUUUUGCGCAAUGGACGAAAGUCUGACGCAGCAACGCCGCGUGAGGGAUGAAGGCCUUCGGGUUGUAAACCUCUUUUAUCAGGGAAGAUAAUGACGGUACCUGAUGAAUAAGUCACGGCUAACUACGUGCCAGCAGCCGCGGUAAUACGUAGGUGACAAGCGUUGUCCGGAUUUACUGGGCGUAAAGAGCGCGCAGGCGGUCGUUCAAGUCGAGUGUGAAAGCCCCCGGCUCAACUGGGGAGGGUCAUUCGAUACUGAUCGACUCGAAGGCAGGAGAGGGUAGUGGAAUUCCCGGUGUAGUGGUGAAAUGCGUAGAUAUCGGGAGGAACACCAGUGGCGAAGG